ACAUCCAGGUCCACUCCUGUCUGAGGGCCGGCU
rnacentral:sRNA from 1 species